AAAUUGAAGAGUUUGAUCAUGGCUCAGAUUGAACGCUGGCGGCAGGCCUAACACAUGCAAGUCGAGCGGUAGCACAGAGAGCUUGCUCUCGGGUGACGAGCGGCGGACGGGUGAGUAAUGUCUGGGAAACUGCCUGAUGGAGGGGGAUAACUACUGGAAACGGUAGCUAAUACCGCAUAACGUCGCAAGACCAAAGUGGGGGACCUUCGGGCCUCAUGCCAUCAGAUGUGCCCAGAUGGGAUUAGCUAGUAGGUGGGGUAACGGCUCACCUAGGCGACGAUCCCUAGCUGGUCUGAGAGGAUGACCAGCCACACUGGAACUGAGACACGGUCCAGACUCCUACGGGAGGCAGCAGUGGGGAAUAUUGCACAAUGGGCGCAAGCCUGAUGCAGCCAUGCCGCGUGUGUGAAGAAGGCCUUCGGGUUGUAAAGCACUUUCAGCGGGGAGGAAGGCGUUAAGGUUAAUAACCUCAUCGAUUGACGUUACCCGCAGAAGAAGCACCGGCUAACUCCGUGCCAGCAGCCGCGGUAAUACGGAGGGUGCAAGCGUUAAUCGGAAUUACUGGGCGUAAAGCGCACGCAGGCGGUCUGUCAAGUCGGAUGUGAAAUCCCCGGGCUCAACCUGGGAACUGCAUUCGAAACUGGCAGGCUAGAGUCUUGUAGAGGGGGGUAGAAUUCCAGGUGUAGCGGUGAAAUGCGUAGAGAUCUGGAGGAAUACCGGUGGCGAAGGCGGCCCCCUGGACAAAGACUGACGCUCAGGUGCGAAAGCGUGGGGAGCAAACAGGAUUAGAUACCCUGGUAGUCCACGCCGUAAACGAUGUCGAUUUGGAGGUUGUGCCCUUGAGGCGUGGCUUCCGGAGCUAACGCGUUAAAUCGACCGCCUGGGGAGUACGGCCGCAAGGUUAAAACUCAAAUGAAUUGACGGGGGCCCGCACAAGCGGUGGAGCAUGUGGUUUAAUUCGAUGCAACGCGAAGAACCUUACCUGGUCUUGACAUCCACAGAACUUAGCAGAGAUGAUUGGUGCCUUCGGGAACUGUGAGACAGGUGCUGCAUGGCUGUCGUCAGCUCGUGUUGUGAAAUGUUGGGUUAAGUCCCGCAACGAGCGCAACCCUUAUCCUUUGUUGCCAGCGGUCCGGCCGGGAACUCAAAGGAGACUGCCAGUGAUAAACUGGAGGAAGGUGGGGAUGACGUCAAGUCAUCAUGGCCCUUACGACCAGGGCUACACACGUGCUACAAUGGCAUAUACAAAGAGAAGCGACCUCGCGAGAGCAAGCGGACCUCAUAAAGUAUGUCGUAGUCCGGAUUGGAGUCUGCAACUCGACUCCAUGAAGUCGGAAUCGCUAGUAAUCGUAGAUCAGAAUGCUACGGUGAAUACGUUCCCGGGCCUUGUACACACCGCCCGUCACACCAUGGGAGUGGGUUGCAAAAGAAGUAGGUAGCUUAACCUUCGGGAGGGCGCUUACCACUUUGUGAUUCAUGACUGGGGUGAAGUCGUAACAAGGUAACCGUAGGGGAACCUGCGGUUGGAUCACCUCCUUA
rnacentral:rRNA from 1 species